rnacentral:tRNA from 1 species
GCCUCUAUAGCUCAAUGGCAGAGCAAUUGCCUUGUAAGCAGUAGGUUGGGGGUUCAAAUCCCCCUAGAGGCU